rnacentral:rRNA from 1 species
UACGAAGGGUGCAAGCGUUAUCCGGAUUCACUGGGUUUAAAGGGUGCGUAGGCGGGCAGGUAAGUCCGUGGUGAAAUCUCUGAGCUUAACUCAGAAACUGCCAUGGAUACUAUUUGUCUUGAAUAUUGUGGAGGUAAGCGGAAUAUGUCAUGUAGCAGUGAAAUGCUUAGAUAUGACAUAGAACACCAAUUGCGAAGGCAGCUUACUACACAGUAAUUGACGCUGAGGCACGAAAGCGUGGGGAUCAAACAGG